rnacentral:rRNA from 1 species
CCUACGGGGGGCAGCAGUGGGGAAUAUUGGACAAUGGGGGGAACCCUGAUCCAGCCAUGCCGCGUGUGUGAAGAAGGCCCUCGGGUUGUAAAGCACUUUCAGUGAGGAAGAACGCCUGGUGGUUAAUACCCAUCAGGAAAGACAUCACUCACAGAAGAAGCACCGGCUAACUCCGUGCCAGCAGCCGCGGUAAUACGGAGGGUGCGAGCGUUAAUCGGAAUUACUGGGCGUAAAGCGCGCGUAGGUGGCUUGAUAAGCCGGUUGUGAAAGCCCCGGGCUCAACCUGGGAACUGCAUCCGGAGCUGUCAAGCUAGAGUGCAGGAGAGGUAGGUAGAAUUCCCGGUGUAGCGGUGAAAUGCGUAGAGAUCGGGAGGAAUACCAGUGGCGAAGGCGGCCUUCUAGACUGACACUGACACUGAGGUGCGAAAGCGUGGGUAGCAAACAGGAUUAGAUACACUUGUAGUA